GAGAAAGAGAGAGAGAGAGAGAGAGAGAGAGAGAGAGAGAGGGUGCAAGCUAAUAAAACUACGCGAGCUGUUUUGCCUUUCCAAUUCCGCGCGAGGCGAGUUAGAUUUUCCUUAAAUUUAAAUAUACCUAGGUAAAAUAGACGAAAAAAGAAAGAAAGAAAGAAAGAAAGAAGAAAAAGAAAAAGAAAAGAAACAAAUAAGAGAGAAAACACGCCGUAGACGCCGAGCGGCUAGUUCAAAAAGGCCAGUUCCGUGGGUAGUUCCGUCUCGUUUUCGAGCGCAGAAGCAAAACCGAAUAAUUCAAAUUGUAAUCCGAAAACGUGUAUACGGUUUACGUGGCGUUGGACGCGUAUACUUUAAAGUUUUUACGAAAGGCGGAUAGGAGGGAGGUAGGUGGAGGCCAAAGAGGCCGUAAAAAGCAACGAUCUGUCCCGUUGAAAUAUUCAACGCACGACGAAAUGAAAGGAAAAUGAAGACGGUAGAUGCGAGAAAGAAAGCGAGAGAGAGAGAGAGAGAGAGAGAGAGAGA